GGCAAGAUGGCCGAGCGGUCUAAGGCGCCACGUUAAGGUUAACCCUUAAUCCGAGAUAUCCGUGGUCCGAAAGGGCGUGGGUUCGAAUCCCACUCUUGUCA
rfam:Neurospora crassa OR74A linkage group I, whole genome shotgun sequence.